rnacentral:rRNA from 1 species
GCCAACGUUCAUAUCACGUUGAAUACACCAGUUCUCGUCCGAUCACUGAAGUUAAGCAACGUUGAGGCCCGGCGCACAUUGAGACACAGCUACGCAGCACAGUCACGCAGCACAGCAAAGCAGUUUUUGUAAACC